GAUGAACGCUGGCGGCGUGCCUAAUACAUGCAAGUCGAGCGAACAGACGAGGAGUUUGCUCCUCUGACGUUAGCGGCGGACGGGUGAGUAACACGUGGAUACCCUACCUAUAAGACUGGGAUAACUUCGGGAAACCGGAGCUAAUACCGGAUAAUAUUUUGAACCGCAUGGUUCAAUAGUGAAAGACGGUUUUGCUGUCACUUAUACAUGGAUCCGCGCCGCAUUAGCUAGUUGGUAAGGUAACGGCUUACCAAGGCAACGAUGCGUAGCCGACCUGAGAGGGUGAUCGGCCACACUGGAACUGAGACACGGUCCAGACUCCUACGGGAGGCAGCAGUAGGGAAUCUUCCGCAAUGGGCGAAAGCCUGACGGAGCAACGCCGCGUGAGUGAUGAAGGUCUUCGGAUCGUAAAACUCUGUUAUUAGGGAAGAACACAUGUGUAAGUAACUAUGCACGUCUUGACGGUACCUAAUCAGAAAGCCACGGCUAACUACGUG
rnacentral:rRNA from 1 species